rnacentral:snRNA from 1 species
GUGCUCGCUUCAGCAGCACAGGUACUAACAUUGGAACGCUACAGAGAAGAUUAGCAUGGCCCCUGCACAA